GGGCCCGUAGCUCAGUGGUCAGAGCAGGCGACUCAUAAUCGCUCGGUCGUGGGUUCGAACCCCACCGGGCCCA
rnacentral:tRNA from 1 species